UGGGGGGUAUGUGCUUUUUUAAAUUAUUGUUUUAUUUCAAUCGAUUUUUGGGGGUAACAGGUGGCGUUUGGUUACAUGAAUAAGGUUUUUAGUGGUGAUUUCUGAGAUUUUGGUGCGUCCGAGCAAUGUACACUGUAUCCAAUGUGUAGUCUUUUGUCCCUCAUUAGCCUUCCCCUUACCCCUGAGCUCCCGAGUCCCCAAAGUCCAAUGUAUCAUUCUUAUUGAAGACAGCUAAAUUUUUAACUCUGAGACUCACUGGAGAGAAUGACUGGUUGUCUUUGGGUGUUACUGAAAAGCCAAAGGAUUAAGCAAUAGGGAUAAAGUAGAGGAGGAGAUAAUUGUUCUCGUAUGUCAUAUGAAAAUGCUAACCAUAGUUUGUAAGCUAACAGAAGAAGCCUGAGGAAGUUCCCGAAUUUAUGAUAUCCUCUUCCCUUUUUUCCAAAGAAAGAUGCAGUCUAGCACCUCAGUUAAGAAUAUGGACUCUAAAGUCAGACUGCCAGGCUUCAAAUUCCAGUUCUGCGACCUCAGCAAAGUUACUUAACCAAGCUCUCAGUGCCUUGUUUUCUUCAUCUGUAAAAUGAGGAUGACGUCACAGCAUUGUUGAGAGAAUUAAUACAGGCUCCAGACUUGUGAAUGGAGAAGUGUUGAGGUGACCCCAGCUCCAGCCACCAGCUGACGACAACCAUACCGGAGAUCCUGAGAGCUGCCUAGCUGACCCCAGGCACCCCCCAGACUUGUGAGCAAAAUGAAUUAUUGUUGUAUGUUCUAACCCACUGAAUUCUGGGGUAUUUGUACGUAGCAAUGGGUAUUUGGAACAACAAUCUGUAAGGCCCUUUUUACUCUGAGCUUAACCUACUGUGCAAACUUCAUCUACCACCUCAAAUACGCCCCAGCCACCCUGACCUCAUCUGCCCCAUCAAG
rnacentral:lncRNA from 10 species